rnacentral:rRNA from 1 species
GGACCCGCACAAGCGGUGGAGUAUGUGGUUUAAUUCGAUGCAACACGAAGAACCUUACCAGGGUUUGAAAUCAUUUCAAAACUCCUUGAAAGAGGAGCCUCCUUCGGGAUGAAAUGACAGGUGGUGCAUGGCUGUCGUCAGCUCGUGUUGUGAAAUGUCGAGUUAAGUCUCGUAACGAGCGCAACCCAUGUCUCUUGUUGCUCACUGAGUGCUUAAGAGAGACUGCCGACCAACAUCGGAGGAAGGUGUGGAUGAUGUCAAGUCAGCAUGCCCCUUACAUCCUGGGCUACACACGUACUACAAUGGUAAGGACAAUGAGCUGCGAUCCUGCGAAGGCUAGCCAAUCUCAAAAACCUUAUCUCAGUUCGGAUUGCACUCUGCAACUCGAGUGCAUGAAGGUGGAAUC